GAUGAACGCUGGCGGCGUGCCUAAUACAUGCAAGUCGAGCGAACGGACGAGAAGCUUGCUUCUCUGAUGUUAGCGGCGGACGGGUGAGUAACACGUGGAUAACCUACCUAUAAGACUGGGAUAACUUCGGGAAACCGGAGCUAAUACCGGAUAAUAUUUUGAACCGCAUGGUUCAAAAGUGAAAGACGGUCUUGCUGUCACUUAUAGAUGGAUCCGCGCUGCAUUAGCUAGUUGGUAAGGUAACGGCUACCAAGGCAACGAUGCAUAGCCGACCUGAGAGGGUGAUCGGCCACACUGGAGCUGAGACACGGUCCAGACUCCUACGGGAGGCAGCAGUAGGGAAUCUUCCGCAAUGGGCGAAAGCCUGACGGAGCAACGCCGCGUGAGUGAUGAAGGUCUUCGGAUCGUAAAACUCUGUUAUUAGGGAAGAACAUAUGUGUAAGUAACUGUGCACAUCUUGACGGUACCUAAUCAGAAAGCCACGGCUAACUACGUG
rnacentral:rRNA from 1 species